rnacentral:lncRNA from 1 species
UGUGGAGUGUGCUAUAAAUGGUUUGGAAGUAUCAGGUACGGAUUCCGUACUCUUUCAGCGACAUUCUUGAUACAUUUGAUUUGUUCGUUUUGUCCCAUAUUUUAAAUUUCGUUAUUCUUUCACAUAAUUAUUUCUUGUGAAAUUCAUAUAAUAGUUUCAUUUUGGAGUUGAUACAUAUGACUCGAAUUUGUACUCUUUGAAUUAGGUUAUCAUGUUUAAUUAAUAUUUAUUUUUGAUAAUUGUAGAGCGGUACAUGUUGCUACCUUCUUUUGAGACAUUGUGAUUAUAAUUUGAUUUUGUUCAACAUGUACAUAUAGAACCCUUUUGUGGGUAUUAUGUCGCAUGUGUUGUGAUAUGAUAUUUUGUUAGAAUAUACCAUAGGGUAUACCUGAGAUAUAACCACCUGUGGGGGUACCACAGGCAUGUCGUC